UCAUAUCAGGCUUUUCCUACGUUUUUUAGGAAAGUUUGAAUCAAUCGCAGUAUAAAACAUAAAUCUAAACGAGUCAUCUCUCACUUCUUGAGACCACGCUCCUCUCACAAAACCCUACAGUCUCACCAUUCCUCUACUUUUUCUCUGGUCAAACCGAUAUACCCCCUUCCCCAUCAACACCGCCUCCUAGCACUAACUUCGCCACCUCUUUUAACCAUAUCUGAUCACAAGCACAAACGAGAAACCAUUCAUGACCUCCACCGCCAUAUCCACCAUUUGUUUCUACCAGAAGUAUGCUGAAAUCAUUCACCAUCUUCUCUUUUUCUCCUAAAGAAAUCAACUAUCAUCUCUUUAGAUCUCUACGAAAUCAACUGGCCAUCUGCUUUGCUCAACGCCGCCGCCAUCCUCUACGCACCUUAGAUGUCGACUGACCACCAGAUUUGGGAUCCCAAAAGCAACACCUACUAUGGAUGAUGAGAAGUGGAAGGCUAGACUCUCUAUAUUUUGUUUCUAAUCUGUCAAACUGAAACAAAAGCGAAACGAUAAUGGAAUUCCCUCCAAGUAUUUUCAAAGGGUUUACUUCUUCUGAGGAGUUUGCGUUGAAGGAGAUGAUGAUGAUGAGAGGGGGUUGUGGUCGGAAGACGUCGUCUUCUUCAUUGGUGUUGGAUAAUGAAAGGGGAGAGAUAGUGAGGGCUCUGGUUAGACCUGGCAGUAUUCAUCAUCAUCCUCAUCAUCAUAAUUCUCAUCUUCAUCAUCAUCAAAAGGGGGCAAAAGCAGAGAAAGCUUUAAUGGCUUUGAGGAAUCAUAGUGAGGUGGAGAGACGGCGGAGAGAGAGAAUCAAUGGCCAUCUCUCUAUGCUUCGUAGCCUCAUUCCAGGCACUACUAAGUUCAAUGUGCUUCUCAAGAUUUUGGCAAAAAAUUGAACAUUUGGCUUCAAUUGUCAUCAAUAAAAGACGAUUUGUGAGUGGGUGUUCCUUCCAUGUUCCUAUUCCUUUAGCAAAGUGCCUUCUCAGGAAUCGUUUGGUCCAUUUUGAUUCUUCCAUAGUGUCCUGUCAAUGUGCAUCAAUUGAGUGGACAAGCCCAACUACUCUGGCUGAUUUUUUUAAGGCUUGAUCCUUCUAAGGGGACUAAUGAGGCUAUUUGAACAUUUCAAUAAUUAUGAAGGUUUAUAAGUCGCAUAAUGUUUUCAUUUGAUUUUGAGUUGAUUAUAAUUAAUAUGUGAUUGAUUUCACAGAGGUUAUUAUCACAAACAACAUGUUUAAACAAAGGAUGGUAGCGUGAAAGCAAGAAAUAGUAUUUUUAAUGUAUGCGGCCUCACCAUUUAAGCUUUUAUCGUGCAUGUAGAAAAGGUGUCGCGAAGUUUCCUAAUUUUGUUUCUUAUAGCAUCCUACUUUCGAGUGAUAUAGGCUAAAAAAGAUCUCUCUUUCAGUGACUAUCAAAUAAUGUUUGAUUACAAAUUGUUGAUUUGUUAUUUCAUAGCAUCUUACUUUUAUUGAUUUGUUUAUAUAACAUCAUACUUUGGUUUGAAACCUUGAAUGCUUAAUUAAAGAUUAUGGAAGUAAUCAAAAAGUUCAAAUGUUUAUCA